AAAAAGAAAUACAUGCAGACAGACGGGCGAUUGUAAUAUAAUUUUCAAUAAACUGCCAAUCAUCGAGUACCUUUGGGGAAUAAAAAAAGAACAACCGAUUGAGUCAACUGCAGGGAAAAGAAAAUUGUUUAUCGCCCUACGUUCUAGAACUGUAGAGAAUUAAAAUUCAGAGAGCUUAACCUUCCUACGGGAUGAUAGACGGGGGAUGAAGAUCCUCGGCUAUAAAAAGGCAGUGUUUACGAACAGUAUCAGUCAUUUGCUUCGCGGUUUUCCAUCUUCCUUCAUUACGUAACUAUGAAACUGAUUUUCGUGCUCUGUAGCAUGUUUGCAAUCAUAUGGUUACUUCAUGGACAAGAUGCUUCUGUUUCCAGAAUAUCUUUACAACGUAUACAAAGACAUCGUCCAAUACACCUCGGAUACGCUAGAAAUGAAAAAACUGGAGACGGGGAUCAUUCAGAUUCGAGUAAACAACUGCAAAACGUAGAUUUUGAUUACGGUUAUAUGAAAUAUGGAAAACGCAAAGAGGAGGAAGACGAUACAUACAGAUUUAUCAAAUUUGACGAACAUACUGUGUGAGGAAAUAAAAACAAUUUGCGUUCGCAAGGAAGCGAGAGAAAAAAAAAAUA